rnacentral:rRNA from 1 species
AGAGUUUGAUCCUGGCUCAGGAUGAACGCUAGCUACAGGCUUAACACAUGCAAGUCGAGGGGCAGCAUCAUCAAAGCUUGCUUUGAUGGAUGGCGACCGGCGCACGGGUGAGUAACACGUAUCCAACCUGCCGACAACACUGGGAUAGCCUUUCGAAAGAAAGAUUAAUACCGGAUGGCAUAGUUUUCCCGCAUGGGAUAAUUAUUAAAGAUUUUCGGUUGUCGAUGGGGAUGCGUUCCAUUAGGCAGUUGGCGGGGUAACGGCCCACCAAACCUACGAUGGAUAGGGGUUCUGAGAGGAAGGUCCCCCACAUUGGAACUGAGACACGGUCCAAACUCCUACGGGAGGCAGCAGUGAGGAAUAUUGGUCAAUGGACGAGAGUCUGAACCAGCCAAGUAGCGUGAAGGAUGACUGCCCUAUGGGUUGUAAACUUCUUUUAUACGGGAAUAAAGUGAGCCACGUGUGGCUUUUUGUAUGUACCGUAUGAAUAAGGAUCGGCUAACUCCGUGCCAGCAGCCGCGGUAAUACGGAGGAUCCGAGCGUUAUCCGGAUUUAUUGGGUUUAAAGGGAGCGUAGGCGGAUUGUUAAGUCAGUUGUGAAAGUUUGCGGCUCAACCGUAAAAUUGCAGUUGAUACUGGCGACCUUGAGUGCAACAGAGGUAGGCGGAAUUCGUGGUGUAGCGGUGAAAUGCUUAGAUAUCACGAAGAACUCCGAUUGCGAAGGCAGCUUACUGGAUUGUAACUGACGCUGAUGCUCGAAAGUGUGGGUAUCAAACAGGAUUAGAUACCCUGGUAGUCCACACAGUAAACGAUGAAUACUCGCUGUUUGCGAUAUACAGUAAGCGGCCAAGCGAAAGCAUUAAGUAUUCCACCUGGGGAGUACGCCGGCAACGGUGAAACUCAAAGGAAUUGACGGGGGCCC